rnacentral:rRNA from 1 species
UGCGUAGGUGGUGGGGUAAGUCUCGUGUGAAAGCUCGCAGCUUAACUGCGAAAAGUCACGGGAUACUAUCCGGCUAGAGGCUUGGAGGGGGGACUGGAAUACUUGGUGUAGCAGUGAAAUGCGUAGAUAUCAAGUGGAACACCAGUGGCGAAGGCGAGUCCCUGGACAAGACCUGACACUGAGGCACGAAAGACGGAGGGCGAACAA